UAAUUUCUGAAACCUCGGCCAAGAACCAGAGCCUGGUGGGUGCCGGUGAUUUCAGAAAUGAAUCCAGUGCCGGUGCUUGUGUGAAGGAAGGAGACUGAUCCUCUGGAUUUGCAGAGUCCUGGAAAAUGCCUUUGGUGAUGAAAAACAUCUAUUUGGACAAGGCAGCCUCCAGUGGGGAGCUGUGGGUUUCCGAGGUGACUGUCUGAGGACGGAGACAGGACCCCUGAGCAGUGUCCUCAGCCUCCGCCACCUCACGUCCCUGUGCUGCAGCCACAGGACUUGUCCCACUCUGAGCCCACUGGGCAGGUUCUGCUCCUCCCUCUGCCUUCGCAGUGCUUCCCCCUCUGCCUGGACCGCACUUGAGGGGUACACUGAACUGACUGUGGAAGACAGGGUUUAUUUUCGUAAGGCAGUUUCAUGUUUUCAGGAUCACACGGCCAUGGGUCCCAGCCCAAGCAGAUUUCUCCAUCCAGGUGACUUUAGUAACCCCCCUGCCAUCCUCCUUGCAUUUGGCAACUCCCCAUUUCAGCCCUCUGCCGAGUCUCUUCCUCAAACAUCACCCCAUCGCACUGUCCCUCUUGAAGCACAGUGUCUCUGAUGGGCGUCGACCUCAGCACCCUCCAGUUUGGUCUUUGAAGCAGCCUCCCUGCUCCACUCUCCGGAGCAGUCAUUUAUCCUCCAUAAUGCUGCUAUUCCUUGAGUCAUCACUGACAGAUGAAACACUCUGGUCCCUUCUCCCUUCUUCAGACUCAACUCUUCUUCAAAAUCCAUAUCAACUCCUUCUUUUGGGAAACUUCCUCUGACUUCACCAGUCCACAGAUCACCCAGCUUGUGUUGGCUCUGUUUGUAUUCUCUGAUGUUGCUUUUGCCUGAAUGUGACUUUCUAAAUGUUCUUUGCGCCAUGUGGCAGGGACCAGGUCUUCUGUUUCUUUGGAUCCCUGACCAGCACUUAGUGGGAUGUGCUGCACUUGGAGGCAUUCUGCAGAGACUGUCCUUGACCAUGAGGCCCUCGCCUCAUGAUCUACACGCCUAGGCCCCUCUUUCGCAGCAGAAGUUCCUUGAGGAAAGGUGCCGCCCUUCAAUGAAAUAUCCUUGUCAGAUGCCAGGGUGGGUCCCUACCUCUCGCCCCACCCAGGGAAAGCUUUCAGCUGGUGCCUGCAGAGGGCAAACCCUGCAUGACUCACGGUUUCCCUACUCAGGUAUAAUGGUUCCAGUUCUCCAGUUAGACAGAAACCUUGCAGCCAAAAGAAACCCAUGCAAGGAGUACAUUGGGGCUUUGGAUCAGUGUUUCUGUAGCAAACUGAGAUUUUUUUUCUCCUUGUUCAUUUUUCUGUGUCUCUCUGUGGGUGAAUGCCAGGAUGUAACUCCCCCAGACACCUCUGAUUUGGUUCCAGGCCUCCCUGAGAGGCCCAGAAUCUAAGACAUCUGAUGCCAUGGUGUCAUUGGUGGGGAGGCGCUUAGGAAGAAAGUGCAAUCCUGAGCUUGCUUCGGUGUGCAGAUUUGCUCCCAAGUUUGUCUUCUCUCCUUUGGUUUCUGUUCACGUGGCAUUUGUGUGUGUGUUCGGCAGCGGAGCUAUAAGAUAGGUCAGAUCCUGUCUGCCCUGGAGAGUCUCACCAGCUGGUGGAACUUCUCGUCACCGGAGGGAGGCCUCUAUGAAGGCCCCUCAAUUCCUGCUCUUCUCUCUCCCAUAAACUUUUAAAGUUCAACACCAAUUUGAGAAUAUUUUGAAAGUUAUGGAUUCUUUCCCUGGGAAAAAAAGAGCACACAUAUCCAAUAGUCUGCAUAAAACUCCAGGAAGUUUACAGACCCCAUGAAGCCCAUCCACAAACCCCCUAAGCCCUAGGUAAGGAACACUCCUGCUCUUAAAAAAAAAUCAACAAGGAUGAGGAGAGGAGGGGGGAAAAAAGAACACCUAAAAAUGGAGUGCAAACAGAAACAAAAGCAACUAAUUCUAUUUCAAAUAAAUAACAUUACCACAUCGAAGGGAGAGUAAGCAAACCAACAAAUUAAAACUAAUGAAUAUUGAAUUCUAGUUAGAAAGAGUUUUUGCUACAGUGGUAUGGUUUAGCAAUCCUGAAAUACUUUUUGUGUGCUGUUGGAUUGAGCAAAUAAAUAAAUAUACUGGGGAUUAUGGGAGUCAGUUCUUGCUGGUGGAGAAAAGAGUUAUAAAUAUAAAGAAAGGGCUCUAGCCGGGUUGGCUCAGUGGAUAGAGCUUUGGCCUGUGGACCAAAGGAUCCUGGGUUCAAUUCCAGUCAA